AGUGAACGCUGGCGGUAGGCCUAACACAUGCAAGUCGAACGGCAGCACAGUAAGAGCUUGCUCUUACGGGUGGCGAGUGGCGGACGGGUGAGGAAUACAUCGGAAUCUACUUUUUCGUGGGGGAUAACGUAGGGAAACUUACGCUAAUACCGCAUACGACCUACGGGUGAAAGCAGGGGAUCUUCGGACCUUGCGCGAUUGAAUGAGCCGAUGUCGGAUUAGCUAGUUGGCGGGGUAAAGGCCCACCAAGGCGACGAUCCGUAGCUGGUCUGAGAGGAUGAUCAGCCACACUGGAACUGAGACACGGUCCAGACUCCUACGGGAGGCAGCAGUGGGGAAUAUUGGACAAUGGGCGCAAGCCUGAUCCAGCCAUACCGCGUGGGUGAAGAAGGCCUUCGGGUUGUAAAGCCCUUUUGUUGGGAAAGAAAAGCAGCAGGUGAAUACCCCGCUGUUCUGACGGUACCCAAAGAAUAAGCCCCGGCUAACUUCGUG
rnacentral:rRNA from 1 species